ACACAGUCUUAAAAUUUGCCCAUCUUAGCAAAUUGUUUCCAAGUGUUUCUUCUGUGUGUUUAACCUGUAAACAAUCACGGAGGGUGUUUUGUAGGCUGAGUCUUAUCUUCGCCCCUUUCCCAACUGCACUCAGGUUAACAGUUGUCAGCGUUCCCUUUGCCUUGGAUUUAAUUAUACAGAACCAAAAUGUUUCCCAGUAGAUUAACUUGCUAAAUAUUUUGUCGCUUUUGUGAUUUCCCCACUGACAACUCGAUUGAUUACAGAGAUCUACCU
rnacentral:lncRNA from 1 species